rnacentral:rRNA from 1 species
UGAAUACGAGAUGCUACGGCGUCGAAGCAGUCUAUGUCAUACUUCCAAGAAAAGCUUGCACUGUCAUAAACAAAUAAUGCCUGUACCAUAACCGACACAGGUGGGUAGGUAGAGUAUACUAAGGGGCGCGAGAUAACUCUCUCUAAGGAACUCGGCAAAAUGACUCCGUAACUUCGGGAGAAGGAGUGCCUUAUUUAUAAGGUUGCAAUAACAAGAUCCAAGCAACUGUUUACCAAAAACACAGGUCUCCGCUAAGUCGUAAGACGAUGUAUGGGGGCUGACGCCUGCCCAGUGCCAGAAGGUUAAAGAAGUUGGUUAGCAUCCGCGAAGCUGAUAACUGAAGCCCUGGUGAACGGCGGCCGUAACGAUAACGGUCCUAAGGUAGCGAAAUUCCUUGUCGGGUAAGUUCCGACCCGCACGAAAGGCGUAAUGAUUUGGAUACUGUCUCGGAGAGGGGCUCGGUGAAAUAGACUUGUCUGUGAAGAUGCGGACUACCUGCACCAGGACAGAAAGACCCUAUGAAGCUUUACUGUAACCUGAAAUUGAAAUUGGACUUUACUUGCGCAGUAUAGGUGGGAGGCGUUGAGAAUAUUCUUGCGGGAUUAUUGGAGCCAUCAGUGAGAUACCACUCUUGUAAUGUUAGAUUUCUAACUUUGUAUCAUUAUCUGGUCAAAGAACAGUUUCAGGCGGGCAGUUUGACUGGGGCGGUCGCCUCCUAAACGGUAACGGAGGCGCACAAAGGUUUCCUCUGAACGGGUAGAAAUCGUAUCUAGAGUGUAAAGGCAUAAGGAAGCUUGACUGUGAGACCUACAAGUCGAGCAGGGACGAAAGUCGGUCUUAGUGAUCUGACGGUGCUGAGUGGAAAGGCCGUCACUCAACGGAUAAAAGUUACUCUAGGAUAACGGGCUGAUCUCCCCCAAGAGUUCACAUCGACGGGGAGGUUUGGCACCUCGAUGUCGGCUCAUCGCAUCCUGGGGCGGUAGUACGUCCCAAGGGUUGGGCUGUUCGCCCAUGAAAGCGGUACGCGAGCUGGGUUCAGAACGUCGUGAGACAGUUCGGUCCAUAUCCGGUGUAGGCGUUAGAAUAUUGAGAGGAGCCUUCUUUAGUACGAGAGGACCGAGAAGGACAUACCUCUGGUGUACCAGUUAUCGUGCCAACGGUAAACGCUGGGUAGCUAUGUGUGGAGUGGAUAACCGCUGAAAGCAUCUAAGUGGGAAGCCCACCUCAAGAUAAGUAUUCUC